rnacentral:lncRNA from 1 species
AUUUUUUUUUCUGUAUUUUUCGGGAUUUUUUUGGGAUUUUAUUUCGAUUUUUUAAGAUUUAUUUGGAAUUCUUGGGGGAUUUUUUGGAAAUUUUUGGGAGAUUUUUUCUGGGUUUUUUUCGGAUUUUUUUGAGAUUUUUAUUCGGUGUUUUUGGGAUUUUUUCCGUAUUUUUGGGGGAAUUUUUUGAGAUUUUAUUUCGAUUUUUUUAGAUUUUUUUGGGGGGGUUUAUUUCGAUUUUUGGGGAUUUUUAAAGGGUUUUAUUUCGAGUUUUGGAGGGAUUUUUAAAUGUGUUUUUUUGAGAUUUUUAUUCUGUGUUUUUGGGAUUUUUUUUCUGUAUUUUUCGGGAUUUUUUUCGGGAUUUUUUGAGAUUUUAUUUCGAUUUUUGGGGGAUUUUUAAAGGGUUUUAUUUCGAUUUUUGGGGGAUUUUUAAAGGGUAUUUUUUGAGGUUUUUAUUCUGUGUUUUUGGGAUUUUUUUUCGGGAUUUUUUUGAGAUUUUAUUUCGAUUUUUUUAGAUUUAUUUGGGAUUUUUUGGAGAUUUUUUUGGGGAUUUUUUGGAAAUUUUGGGGGAUUUUUUUCAUAGGUUUUCUCGGAUUUUUUUUUUGAGAUUUUUUUAAUGUAUUUUUCCUUUUUUUCGUA